rnacentral:pre_miRNA from 1 species
UUUCUACUCCCUCCGUCCGAAAAUACUUGUCAUCAAAAUGGAUAAAAAGAGAUGUAACUAAAACUAAAAUACAUCUAGAUACAUUUCCUUUCAUCCAUUUUGAUGACAAGUAUUUCCAGACGAAUGGAGUAUUUG